AUCACUUCUUGGCCUUUUGGCUAAGAUCAAGUGUAGAAGCUGUUGACUUAAGCCUUUUACAGCUCAACAUAUUAAUAUGGCUUUACUUUUCAUACCUCGUUUUUAUACUUUUCUGCUGAAGGGUUAAAACCAAGAUAAAGCAAGACCUAUAUAACAAGAAAUUUAACUUUUGUAUCUGACAAAUUCAG